GCAUCAGCCUGAACACCACAAUUAUUACCACCACCGAUACCACAGGUAACGGGGCGGGCUGACGCACACCGAAAAUAGAAAAAAAGCCCGCACCUAACCAGUGCGGGUUUUUUUUUG
rfam:Serratia sp. DD3 SRDD_contig000089, whole genome shotgun sequence.